CAAAGAAUUUCACAUGUUACCAGCUAUCUACUUUUACAAACUUGGUAGGGUUUUCCUGAUGUUGAUCUCUAAGCUUUUAAAAAGCCAUCAUCAGUUAGCUGAAGAAUUCCUGCAAACUACAGUUUAAAACUUCUGAAAAGUGGUUUUGUUCUCCUGAAGUAGAGAUCUCUUUCACUAUCACUUACAGAGUCUAUAAUUAUGACAUUUUGCUUUCUCACAGGUAUUUGGUAGACACAAUUUUUACUUCUGUUCUCAUCCCUGGGCCUCCUGGCACAGAUGUUACCUUACCAUGGCUGAUGCAAAUAUGGGAGAUGGCUGGAAAACACGGAGUGCCUGGUAAUGCCGGUGGGAUAGCACAGGAAGGACCACAGCCUUCUGCAGGGAGACAUGCCAAAGGAAUCACAGCCAGCACGCUGCAAUUCGUGUGGCUUCCUAAAACAUGAAGGUGAGUUGAUUACAGCAGGGAGGUGAAGAUAGGAACUAUUUGUGCACUUCACUCUGCCCCUUUGCCAGAGGUUACCACCUUCACACUGCUUCUCACAACUCUCUAACAGCACCUAGCAUCACAGGGCAAGUUCUCCUUCGCUGGUAGCAUGAACAAGCCCUCGGAUUUUGCAUUUCAGCUGCUUCAGAGGAAGUACAACCUUCCUCCUGUCGAUUUUGCUCCAAGUGCAAUAACAUGGCAGUAGAGACAUCUGAGGCGGUAACUUUCCAGGCUAAGCCUGUAAGAGUUUGUCGUUUUAACUAUUUGGAAUUAUAUCUGUUGGCCGAAAGAAUUUCAAGCACUGUCUAGAAAAUAAAAGCAAGCAUCAUCUUUGUAGCA
rnacentral:lncRNA from 1 species